rnacentral:rRNA from 1 species
GCGAAAGGGGGGGCAACCCCCCAAGUAGAGUGGCGAACGGGUGAGUAAUACAUCGGAACGUGUCCAGUAGUGGGGGAUAACCUCUCGAAAGAGAGGCUAAUACCGCAUACGACCUACGGGUGAAAGAGGGGGAUCGCAAGACCUCUCACUAUUGGAGCGGCCGAUGUCGGAUUAGCUAGUUGGCGGGGUAAAAGCCCACCAAGGCUACGAUCCGUAGCUGGUCUGAGAGGACGGCCAGCCACACUGGAACUGAGACACGGUCCAGACUCCUACGGGAGGCAGCAGUGGGGAAUUUUGGACAAUGGGCGCAAGCCUGAUCCAGCCAUGCCGCGUGAGUGAAGAAGGCCUUCGGGUUGUAAAGCUCUUUCGGCGGGAACAAAAGGUCCGUGUUAACACCAUGGAUCCAUGACGGUACCCGCAGAAGAAGCACCGGCUAACUACGUGCCAGCAGCCGCGGUAAUACGUAGGGUGCAGGCGUUAAUCGGAAUUACUGGGCGUAAAGCGUGCGCAGGCGGUUUGCUAAGACAGGUGUGAAAUCCCCGGGCUUAACCUGGGAACUGCGCUUGUAACUGGCAAGCUAGAGUGUGGCAGAGGGGGGUGGAAUUCCAGGUGUAGCAGUGAAAUGCGUAGAGAUCUGGAGGAACACCGAUGGCGAAGGCAGCCCCCUGGGCUAACACUGACGCUCAUGCACGAAAGCGUGGGGGAGCAAACAGGAUUAGA